rnacentral:rRNA from 1 species
GCGCGAAAACUUUACAAUGCUGGCAACAGCGAUAAGGGAACCUCGAGUGCCAGGUUACAAAUCUGGCUGUCGAGAUGCCUAAAAAGCAUUUCAUAGCAAGGGCCGGGCAAGACCGGUGCCAGCCGCCGCGGUAACACCGGCGGCUCGAGUGGUAACCGUUAUUAUUGGGGCUAAAGGGUCUGUAGCCGGCCGGAUAAGUCUCUUGAGAAAUCUGGCAGCUUAACUGUCAGGCUUUCAGGGGAUACUGUCUGGCUCGAGUGCGGGAGAGGUGAGAGGUACUUCAGGGGUAGGGGUGAAAUCUUGUAAUCCUGGAAGGACCACCAGUGGCGAAGGCGUCUCACCAGAACGGACCUGACGGCAAGGGACGAAAGCUAGGGGCACGAACC